rnacentral:lncRNA from 1 species
AGUCACAAGCUUGUUGGCAUGAAGUUUCAUGACUGCCACGUGAUUAUCACGCAGUUACUUUCAGUUGCAAUAAGAGGUGCCAUGGAGCCAUGGGUCAGAGAGACGGUGAUGAAGCUUUGUGACUUCUUCGACACAAUCGGGCAAAAAUUCAUCACGGUGGAACGUUGCCUCCAACUGAAGGAUUCAAUGAUACAAAUUUUGUGUGAAUGUGAGAUGUUCUUCCCUCCAACAUUCUUCGAUAUCAUGGUACAUCUGAUGGUCCACAUCACCGACGAGAUAAUCCUACUAGGGCUCUCCUUUCUGCACAACAUGUAUGGGCCCGAACGAUACAACGGGGUGCUGAAGCGGUAUGUCUGUAACACAGGGCAUCCGGAAGGUAGCAUCAUGCAAGGCUCCAUGCAGAAGAGUGUGUGGAGUACGCCACUGAUUGGUUGGCGGAUCGCAAACCCAUAGGAGUACCCGAAUCACGACAUAAGGGCAAACUAGAAGGUAAAGGUGGGCUUGGCCGGAAGGUUCUGGAUGUGUAUUCAUCAGGGAGAGAGGACGACUAUAUGAGAGCACAUACAAUGGUGCUGCAACAUAUGUACGAGGUCCAGCCUUUCAGCGACAUGCAUAUGGAAGAACUUGAAAACCGGUACCCUAACAGGAGUGCUGAUUGGAUACACAAGACCCACAAUGCAACAUUCGCCAUGUGGCUCAAGAGUUUUUGGUAUGCCAGGGUGGCGGCAAAUGAAGAAGAAAGGCCCACUCAAAAGUUUUUGCGGCUACCCGACGGCUGCGUACUGACUUACCAGUCGUACGCAAUGAACGGGUAUACGUACUACACCAAGGAUCAAGAUCGUAAGAGCAGUUACCAAAAUAGCGGUAUAGUGCUGGUUGCUAAGACUAGUUCUAAUAACCAAGGCACUACAAAAGCGUACUAUGGCGUGAUCGAAGAGAUCUGGGAGCUUGACUACACCUUCAUCACCAUCCCCAUGUUCCGUGUCAGAUGGGCACGUGAUGUCAGACAAGAAGAUCAUAGAUUCACAACAAUGACCCUGCCUCGUGAGGUUCCUCGUCAUAAAGUGGACGUGAAGAAAAUCCUAGCAAGAUGGGAACCAUGGCAGUUUGCUACAAAAUGCAAACAAGUUUUCUUCAUCGACGACCCGACAAGCAAGAACCGUGUUGUCGUAAGGAGAGGGAAAACAAGCAUAGUUGGCGUCGAUGGAGUUACUUCACAACAAGACUAUGAAGAUUUUCCUGAUCCAACGUCAAAGCAAGAAGCAGAAGAAGCAUCACGGACAAUCCAGACAAGGAAGAAGUCAAGACCUGAGGCAAGAGAGGAGGCAUACACUAGAAGCGGCCACAGCGAGACCCUAACAUAUAAGAGGAAGGAGAAGACCAGAAAGAAGAAGAAGGACAAGAUUGUGGCAUAGUUGAAUAUUUGUGAUCUUUUCGUAGUUGAUGUUUAACGUUGCUUUUGAAUGUAAAAUUGUAACCACAUAUCAUGUCAAAUUUGAAAUCAAAAGUUUUAUAUAUGUACUGAAUUUAAUAUAACUUGUUCAAAUUUGAGGUCAAAAAUAUGUUCUGAAUUUGAAAUAACUUGUUCAAAUUUGAAAUCAAAAUGUCUUAAAUAACUUGUUCAAUUUCAAAUAAAAUGUUUUAAAUAUGUUCUGAAUUUGAAGUAAAUUGAUCAAAUUUGAAAUCAGUUGUAUUAAAUAACUUGUUCAAAUUUCAAAUCAACUAUAUUACAUAACUACUUGUUCAAAUUUGAAAUCAAAAAUAUGUUCUGAAUUUGAAAUAACUUGUUCAAAUUUCAAAUAAAAUGUUUUAAAUAUGUUUUGAAUUUGAAGUAUUUUGAUCAAAUUUGAAAUCAGUUGUAUUAAAUAACUUGUUCAAAUUUCAAAUCAAUUGUAUUGCAUAACUACUUGUUCAAAUUUGAAAUCAAAAAUAUGUUCUGAAUUUGAAAUAACUUGAUCAAAUUUCAAAUAAAAUGUUUUAAAUAUGUUCUGAAUUUGAAGUAACUUGAAAUCAAUUGUAUUAAAUAACUUGUUCAAAUUUGAGAUCAACUUGAAAAAAAUUAGCCCACCCGGUCAACACAGCUUUUCGGGUUAGGGCCCAGCCCGACGAACCAGGGAGCUGCCUACUACCUACUAGGGCAGGUUUGACCGGGCCCACAGGGAUUUGACCGAGCCCACAAAGUUUCGGAAUGACAACCGGGCCCACUGGCCAGGAAGAGAGCACAACCAGGCCCGCCGGCCAGGAAGAGAUUUGAUUCGAAAGUGAGAGAGUUGGUGGAGAAGGCUAUUUAUGCUGGUCAUAUUCCUUGUAAACUAGCGAGGUGGGACUAAAACUCCCAACGCGCUGCGCGAAAGCUCGCUCUGAGGAGCACUAGUGGCGGUGAAAGCGAAGUAACCGCCACUAGCAAGUAGUUCUAGUGGCGGUGAGAGCGCAGAAAACCGCCACUUGUGCUGGCGCAAAAAUUCCCCUCGCGCGGAGGAGCACUAGUGGCGGUGAGCAAGCAAGAACCGCCGCUAGGAUGAAGCACUAGUGGUGGUGUAGGACUUGCAAACCGUCACUAGUGCCGGCGCAAAAAAUUCCCCUCGCGCGGAGGAGCAGUAGUGGCGGUGGAAACGCAGCAAACCUCCACUAGCAUGUAGCACUAGUGGUGGUGCUCGCGAAGAAACCAGCCACUGGUAGCAUACGCAUGAGCAUCGGAGACCCUAAGUUUGUCUACUGCAUAUUAGUGGCGGUUCUCGCAGCAAAAACCGCCACUGGUAACGAAUUUCCAAUAAGCUAUUAAAUUCAUAAUAUAUUCUCUGGGUUUUAAAUAAAUACACCACCUGUUCUUUUAUAUGUAUAAUAAGAUUGUUUAUUCUCAAUAAAAUUUUGAACCAUAAAUUCAAAUGUUAUGUACCCUAAUUUCUAUGAUUAAGUGUCAUUAUGUGUGGCUUUUGUGCUAUAAAAAUUCUAUAAAAUUCAAGUUUUCUCUAAACUUUGUCAAAUUUGGUGUGGACACUUCCUAUUGCUAUAGAACACCCAUAACAAAAUUCAAGUUCAAACAAAAAAAACAUGUCGCAUUUGGUUCAUGGCGUUGGAUGGUUUCUGAGAGAUCAACCUCGAUGGUUCCAAAAUGAAGAAGGAAUGUGAAAAAAAUGAACAACCAAGGUGCAUCCUUUUGAAUUUUUGGACCAAAAUUUACAUGUAAGAUUGUUUAUUGAUAGAACCAUUCCAUGCAAAAUUUCAGAUCAUUUUGAGCAAAAUUCAAUUUUAUAGCAAUUAAUAACUUGAAUAUGAACAACAUAAUCAUAUAAAUGGUCGAUGAUAUUUCUGUAUUUAGGUUUCAAACUUUGCAUGGGACAUGAUAUUAGUAGUUUACACUCAAAAGGACAGGUGUUUUAAUUUUUGGAUGUACACAGAAUUGAAUAUGAAUUUAAUACUUGAUUCAGAAAUUAGUAUCAGUGGCGGUUUUGAGGUCAACCGCCACCAGUGCUGCAUUCAGGAGCACUGGUGCAGCACCGGUGGCCGUUUGGUUCUUCGGACCACCACCCGUGCUCGCUCCAGCGCUAUAGGCACUGAGGAGCACUGGUGGCGGUCAGGAGCACCAACCAGCCACUAGUGCAGCGCCAGUGGCGGUUUGGUGCUUCGGACCGCCACCCGUGCUCGCUCCAGCGCUAUAGGCACUGAGGAGCACUGGUGGCGGUCAGGAGCACCAACCAGCCACUAGUGCAGCGCCAGUGGCGGUUUGGUGCUUCGGACCGCCACCCGUGCUCACUCCAGCGCUAUAGGCACCGAGGAGCACCGGUGGCGGUCCAAAACACCAACCGGUCACUAGUGCUGAGCACUAGUGGCUGUUUUAUUCUUCGGACUGCCACUAGUGCUGGCGCGAAAAAUCCCCUUGCCAGCACUAGUGGCGGGUUUAUUCUUUGGACCGCCACUAGUGCUGGUUGGUAUAAAUAGAAAGCGACGGAUCCUUAGCGAAAUUUAGAUUCAAUCGCCCGCGCGUCUCACAGACGAGCAGCGGCACAACCGAACCCUAACGCGGGCGAAGCCUUGCCCCGCCGCCGACUCGCCACCGCUGCCGCCGUUCCCCGACCCCGCCGCCGUUCCCCUUUUCCUCCCCGACCCGCGCGCCGCCGUUUUCUCUCCUUCUUCCCCGACCCGUGCGUCGCCUUCCCUCCUUCUUCCCCGCCGCCGGCCAUGGUCCGCACACGGGGCACGUGCCGCCGCCAUGGCUUCUGUCGUCGCUCGAUGCUCCGACACCGGGGGCGUGCAGCCACGUCCCCCUUUUAGGUUCGGUAGGGGCGUCUGGGGCGGAGACCCGGUUAUCGCCAGCACGGGCGAUGAGGCCCCACGGAGCCGGUGAGACCAAGUGCCAGGAGGGCGCGCUAGUACAAGAACAAAUGCGCACCCGUUUUUUACCCAGGUUCGGGCCACCCGGAGGUGUAAAACCCUACGUCCUGCCUGUCUGAACUGAUAUUGAUUGCGGAUCAAGCGUAUACAAGUUUUUGCUGGGCCAGUUCCCUGGCUUCCUCUCAAUGUCUAAGUACUCCUUACUAUUCUCUGCUUGCUGUCCACUGGAAACAACUAAACAACUCACUAUCCUACCAACUGUCUGACCCGCCAACCGUCUAACCCCCUUGAUCGUUGGCAUGGGUCCUCCUUUUAUACACAUUGGGAUGCCACAUGUGCCACGGUGCAUGGGCUACGAGUGUCCAACGGGGGGGGGGGGGCACGCAACUCUCCCCGGCGAGCUGGUGGCAUGCAUGGGUGCCACCUCCGCUGCUAGGGGCCUAAGACCCUAGGAUAGGAUUGGACAACCACUGUUCCUUGGAUCGGACGGGUAACUACCCGUCGGUCGGCUCGUUUACUGGGCCGCGCGCCUUACUCCUUGCCUUGGUGGGACCGCGCGUUCCGCGCCCGCCACGCGCCCGCGCGGCGCUGUCCACUGGGCCCCACGACGCGAGGCGGGGGCACGCGUCCGGGAGCCCGCCGUCCCCACAAGUCGACUGGGGAAGCACCCGGGCCCAGCGCACCCGGGAACCUCCUUCCGGGAAGCAGCUUCCCGGGAGGUGCCAGAGCGGGAAUAUUCUCCGAAGCCCCGCUAGCCCCUUUCGGGUUGGUAGCUUGCCGGGAAGCACGUCGGCGCUCCCCGGGAUGAGACCUUCCCGGGAACCCGGGGGAGGGGCCCACGUGUCGCGCAGCGGUGGUACCCCGGGUGCCACUGGUGCGACAGCUUCCCCACGGCGUCGGCCACGGCGGAUUUGCCGCUCCGCGACGAGCCAAUGGAGGAGGCGGCUCUGCCCCGCCGCACCGCCGACUCGGGCCCGCCGGAUUUCGCCGCCAGAUUUCGUGGACGAGGUCCGAAAUCCGGCGGCCAAGCCCCGCGACGAGACACCGCCGGCGUCCCCGGCCGCCGGCGACGAGGUCAGUACCCCGAAUCAUAGUUUUCUUUUAAGUUUAAAUUUACUGUUAAAAUUGUUGUCAAAAUGUUUACUGUUAGCAAUUAGGGAUUAGGGUUAGGGUUAGGGUUAGAAUUCAAAUUCAAAUUCAUACUGUUAUUUGUUUAAUAAAUACUGUUAUUUAUGAAAUUAUGUUAGAAAUUAGGAUUAUGUUUCGUGUUAGAAAUUAGGGAUUAGGUUUAGGGUAAAAUUAGGUUACUUUUACCAAGUAUAAGUAGUACAUACUUGUUAGCAAUAGGUUUUUAAGUUUACUGUUAGCAAGUUUAAAUUGUUGUCGAAAUGUUACAUGUAUCUAGGUUGUUAGCAAUAGGUUUUUAAGUUUACUGUUAGCAAGUUUAAAUUCUUGUCAAAAUGUUACAUGUAUCUAGGUUGUUAGCAAUAGGUUUUUAAGUUUACUGUUACCAUAGGUUUUUAAGAACAGAUACAUCCAUAGUACUUGUUAGGGUUAGGGUUGAUAGUAUUGUGAACUUGUAUAGUUCACAUUCUUUGGCUCUACCUAUCCAUCAUAGAGUAAAUAGCUACUUUUUCUUUUUAUUACUUUUUCCUCCGCUUAAUGGAUAACUAUUUGUGUGAAUGUGAGAUUGUGGCAUAUGCAUGAUGUGGGCCCGGCCAUCAUGCCGAGGCCGUUGAAAUUUAGGGGGCCGGCCAUCGCGCCGCGAGGGUAUAUGUGGGUGGGUCAUUUUUAUGCAGGUAUCAUUGUCGGGUAGACCAAUGCGCUAGCUUUAUAGCACGGUUCAUGCCGAAUUUUUCUAAAUUUACAGUACGGGUCAUGUCGAAUUUUUCAAUUUUUUAAAGUAAUCCAUUGUAUAGGAAGCUCAGGGUCGCAAAGGAGAAAACCGUGAGGACUCACCUCAGGGUUCUUCGUCGUCGGGCAGCCCAAUAGCCCAUAGCGAAGAUGACGAGCCUGAACACGGCGGCGGUGAUCCUUCGGGCUUCAACGCAGGCUCUGAGGCUACCACAUCGCAGGUUACUUCUAAGAAGAAGAAGAAGGCGCCGCGUGGGUCUCACAAGCCAACCAAGGAGAAAUUCAUCGUCACCAAGACUGACGAUGUGGGGAAACCCAAAUCACCGAAGAGGGCCGCGUCGUGUGUCGCCAACACUUGCAAUGCAAUUGUUCGCGAGUUCACGAACAUCAACCAAAGAUGGACCGAGGUGCCUCAGAGCAUAAAGGAAGAUUGUUACGCCAAGGCAUUGGAGAGGUUCGAGGUGCCUGAUCUCGCGCUCCGUGAACAAGUAUUCGGAGCGAUGAAGACCACAAUGCGUAGGGGUCAGAGCAAUUGGGGUACCAAGGCCAGAAAAUUUUUGAACGAAGACUGGGAGAUGGUGAUCCAUAAGAAAUGGCCGAGGAUCACAGAGGAGGAAUGGGAGGAGUUCAAGGAGAAGGAAAAGGACCCAAACUUCAAAGCAACCCAAAAGUGGUACGUGGCGCUACGUGCCAAGAGGAAGUUUAACCACCGCCUUGGCAGUCGUGGUAUCAAGGGAAAGAAGCCGGUCUGGGAGAAGGAGGACCGCGAGCUUGCGGCAAGAGGGAUAUUCCCUCCUGUCCCAACAAUGCUCCGUCAUGACCGGUCGACCACCUUCGUGCGGAGUACCAUGACAAAAGAACAGUGGACGGGCCUGAAGCCUAUCCGCAAUGACCAAAAAGUUUUAAUUGUAAGGCCUCAACUGCCACUUCUUUUUCAGUUUAGUUUCUAACACACUCACUUAUAAAUUGGCACCGACUUUGUCUUAUUUCAGGACAAGGUCGCAGAGUUCGAGUCGGAAGGCUCCCAUGACGAGCUCCGUGCACAGUGGGAUUCACCACUAAGCUAUGCUCUAGGAAGAAAUGAGCACGGGGGCCAUAUUCGAGCCUUAGGAACCGGGGCCCUUCGCCGCAAAGUCUUUCCUCAAGAGAAAGAAGCCCAGAGCCGUAAAAGAAAGGCCGAGAAGCACGAAAAAAUUAUAGAGGUGGCGAAAAGGGCGGCGAGGGAGGAGUUUUUCGCUUGCUUGAAAAAAGCAAGGGACUCCGGCCAGACUACGGAGGAGUUCUUUGCUACAUAUGAUGGCAACCGGGGCGCGACACCGAGGCCACCCACUCCGCAUGAUCAUCAGUCGACUCUGAAUCCUUCGCCGCCAUCGUAUAAGAGCAGUGCUGGAUCCGGCGCCGAACUCCUGAGUGACCCUGAUGGCCCAUCUGAUGACAUCCCGGUAAGCUCCUUACUGGUACCAUAGUGUAUAUAUAUACUCAAUUGCGUCAUUCUUCACACCAUAACACUAACGUGUACGUAUGUUAAUUUGUUUGUCAUGCACAAAAGAGUAUUAAGUGCCGGAUACUGAUGCCAUCCACCGGGAAUCCGUUAGGCGCGCGUGGUCUGCUGGUGCCAAGAAUGCCGGUCGUGCACAACACGCCCAUGGCCCCGGAUCAUGUCAGGGUGCAAGUGGACUCCGUGCUCCCGGAUUUUGAGAAGCAGCCGGUCCCUUAUCCUCCAGAGGAGGAAUCAGUGACUCUAGGGCAAUGCCGGGGCACGUACAUCCAGUGGCCCAGGAGGUUGGUUGCCCUCGCUACCCAACCUUCUCCCUCUCCGUCGUGUCCCAGCGCGUCUCCACCGGCAACAAGUCGAGGACUUCCCUCUUCAUCGCCCCUUGGCCCAUCCCCCAAUAAGCCGGCACGUCCGAAUUCACCACCGUCGGGGCAAGGAGGCUUCGAUUUCGAACCAGCGGAAGACUGCAGCGAGGAUGACGCUGCACCGGCUCAUGCGCCGCCGCGUAAUCCGUCGCCGCCCCACCAUAAAGACAGCCAACCCUCGCAACCACCACGACCUGCACCUAUGCCACGAAAAUCUGUGGCGGGCGUGCUGGAGUACGCGUCCGGCAAGCAGGUCUCCCAGACCUUCAAGGAUCAAGAGGAGGCCGAGUUUUUGAAACGCCGAUGCACCAAUAAGAGGGGGUCCAAGAUCAGCAAGAGAUCCAGUGACUCGAAGAGUAGAGACUUGGACACAACGGGCAAGCAACCCAACAAUCCGCCAAUAAUCGAAGGGAAUUUGGAACACCGGCCAGAUAUUUUGAAUAUGAAGCCCGCCCCUUUAGCUGGUGAUUUAGUCGGCGGAGCCUACUUCGUGGCCAGGGAAUUCGAUAAAGUGCUGAUGUUCUACCCUGGACAACCGAUGGUCAGCCUUAAGGACCUAAGGAGCCAGCCGCGAGAGAUGCAAGAGCUACAUGGCUACUACAUGGCAGCAUCAGCUAAUUCUGAACAACAUGGCCAACAGAUGAAUGUACUAGUGCCAGAGUAUUAUGCCUUCUACGAUGCCGAAACGGGGGACCUGCAGACAAAGGAAGUUACCUUCGGAGUGCACUUCCUUGACUUGUUUCACGUCUUCAACCAGAAGUGCUUAGACAACAACAUGUUAAGACUCUGGUGUGUAUACUUCACAAGGGAGUCCUUCCGCCUGAAAGAACCACACGUUGCCAUCGCCGAUCCUCUCCUGUUCAGCAAAGCAACCAUCGGUCUAGAAAAAUGGAAACGGGGUUUGAGACUGAAGGCAACUGAAUACCUGGCUAAGUUCAUGGCAAUGCACAAGCAACGCCGUUAUAUUCUUACACUCUACCAUUUAGAGUAAGUUGUUCUCACGACCAUUGCUUUCUUUCUCAUUCCACUAAGUUGUUCUCUUUUCGGUUAUAAAUGUGUGUUCUUUUUGUAAACAGUGAACAUUGGGUGGUGGUGGCCUUCUCUUUCGAAGAAGCGUCGGUGAGGUAUCUUGAUCCACUCCGACGGAAGAAAGGCUAUGAGCUGCGCGACUUCAAAGCCGUCAGAACACUCUUCGAAGAGGUCUGGAUAAAGGUGGUGACUUUCUAUGAGGUGCCAAGCUACGACAGGAAGAAAAUGACAUAUCACAGAAACUUCGCAUGCAUACAGCAGCCGCAAGGGACGGUCUUCUGUGGAUACUACUGCGCGCACAUCAUCCGCAAUUGGGUCACCUCUUUCAAGCCCAAGACGAAGACGACCUACCAGGAGAUGGCAUCUUACUUCAAGACGGAAUCAGAAUAUGGACACAACCCAGCUGUUCUUGUGUUCGAUAUUCAGAGGGAGAUAGCCACCAUUCUCAACAAAGAGGUUCUGAAGGAAAACGGUGAUUUUUAUGCAGGCGGGGUUGUGCCGAUGUAUUGAAACUUUGAUGUACAAUGUUAAAUAUUGAAUAUCUAUCAUGGAUGUAAUAAGUUUUCGUCUUAUUUGUGUAAUAAGUUUUGUGAACGGAUGCUGGAUGCGUGAUUUUCUCAUAUAUAUUGCUGUUAUCUAGAACCGCCACUGGUGCUACGAAAAUAUACCAGUGGCGGUGAAGCAUCACAGCCACUGAUAUAGCACCCGUGGCGGUGGGUAUCACUUCCAAGGCAUAUGAUAGUUUGAUUAUCUGUGGACGAUUUCUUUCUCGUGCAAUGCCUUUUUCAAUGGUCUCGAAGAUAUAAAUUUUUUCAUUUUUAUCUAUGGAGUCACAACCGAGGUCAUGGUAAAUCCAUAAAUUGGAUUCGAUUUUUUUCUUAUACUUUUUUCUUAUACUUCUUAUACUAAAGAACUAAACAUUUGAAUUCACCAUUAUUCCAUGACUCCGAUUUCAAAGCCUAUCUUUUAAGGGAAAAAUGAAAAAAAGUAACCCCUCUUUUCCCAUUUGCUCUCUAUUGCAUGGGUGGAAGAACAAAAAUGGAGUA